rnacentral:lncRNA from 1 species
AUGCAUCAGCACCCGCUUCUGCAGGCAGUCCCUGAGGUACAGCACCAGGUCCUCCAGCCGCUCCGCCAGGAACUGCUCCUCCCAGGCUUGCCAGGGGCCCCGGAGCAACAAGGAGAAGAGCGCCGUCUUGAGGAUGUAGGAGGAGAGGACGCGGCUCCACUGGGCGCCGAAGGGCUGCUCCAAGCCCCGGCCGCGCAGAUCCCGCAGCCCCUUGAGGAUCUGCAGGCACUUGAGGUGGCAGGAGUUGGCCGGGGUCUGCUCCUUGAGCCAGCUCAGCAGCCGCUGCUCCUGCUUGGAGACGUUGAGCCCCCAGAGGGCCUGCAGGGGGCAGGCAGUGCCGGGCUGGGCUUUCCUGGCGCCGGGCUGCAGGGCGAUGAGAUAGACCGAGUCCCCCAGGGGGAUGGCGGGGAUGAGGCGCACGGCCAUGGAGAUGUGGCAGCAGACGUAGUCGGAGCGCGGCAGGAUGUGCAGGGUGAGCUGGCGGCCCGGGCAGGCGGCCAGGCUGAUGCGGCAGCGCUCCUGCAGCCGGUAGAGCACGGCGCCCAGGCACCGCUGCAGGUGGCCCUGGAACCAGCGCAGCACCAGGGCCGAGGACAGGUAGCGCCUGCCCUGCAGCUCCACGCAGAAGCCCUCGCUGAAGGGCCGGUAGCCCCGGGGCCAGGCGGCCCCUUGCGGGGCCUUCAGGGCGCAGGUGAAGGCGCUGCGCAGCUCCGGGGCCAGCCCCGGCUCCUCGGCGCCCAGGCAGCGGGGCUCCAGCUCCAGGCGCGGCGGCAGCCUCAGCGGCACCAGGAUGUCGAAGCAGUCCGGGCUGCGGACCUUGUGCUGCUCGUAGGCGCUGCCGAUCUGCACGAAGUCCCCGCGCAGGGUGGGGGUCAGGGACCCCGGCUGCAGCCCCUGCGCCUUGGCCGCCCGCACCAGCUCGCCCACGAUGCGGCUCACGUGCGCCUUACUGUGGCCCAGCACGUGCGGGGAGAGGCGCAGCUGCUGCUCGUAGAAGCUCUCUAG